rnacentral:rRNA from 1 species
AUUGAACGCUGGCGGCAGGCCUAACACAUGCAAGUCGAGCGGAAGAAGAGAGCUUGCUCUCUGAUUUAGCGGCGGACGGGUGAGUAAUGCCUAGGAAUCUGCCUGGUAGUGGGGGAUAACGUUCCGAAAGGAACGCUAAUACCGCGUACGUCCUACGGGAGAAAGCAGGGGAACUUCGGGCCUUGCGCUAUCAGAUGAGCCUAGGUCGGAUUAGCUAGUUGGUGAGGUAAUGGCUCACCAAGGCGACGAUCCGUAACUGGUCUGAGAGGAUGAUCAGUCACACUGGAACUGAGACACGGUCCAGACUCCUACGGGAGGCAGCAGUGGGGAAUAUUGGACAAUGGGCGAAAGCCUGAUCCAGCCAUGCCGCGUGUGUGAAGAAGGUCUUCGGAUUGUAAAGCACUUUAAGUUGGGAGGAAGGGCAUUAACCUAAUACGUUAGUGUUUUGACGUUACCGACAGAAUAAGCACCGGCUAACUUCGUGCCAGCCGCCGCUGUAAAAC